rnacentral:rRNA from 1 species
CGUAUAUUAAAAUUGUUGCAGUUAAAAAGCUCGUAUUUGAAUUUCUGCCGCAUCGCGGCGGCCCUCCCGGGCCCAGCGUUGCGGCUUAUUUCGGACUCGCUUGCGUCUCCGAAUGUUUACUUUGAGAAAAUUAGAGUGCUCAAAGCAGGCCCUUGCCUUGAAUACUUUAGCAUGGAAUAAUAAAGUAGGACUUUGGUUCUAUUUUGUUGGUUUAGCGCCAAAGUAAUGGUUAAUAGGAACAGUUGGGGGCAUUCGUAUUUAACUGUCAGAGGUGAAAUUCUU